CCGAGCUUGUCGAUUUGUAAUCAUUUGACAUAAGCUGGACACUCCCAGACCUCAAGAUAACUGACUUGCUCGAAACAUUAUCAAGUGCAUAUCUCUAAAAGGAGAUCAGCAGACUUGCAAACCCCAUCUUGGAUCGAACCAUAUCCAACAAGGUUCGAUUCUUCUUUUUUGAAACAGUCCCUGGAGGAGUCCAUUAUGAGAGAAUCUCAUUCUCUCCAAGAUAUAUCAAAAAUUCAAAAGAAAGAUAUUCACCCUCUCGAUC
rnacentral:lncRNA from 1 species